rnacentral:tRNA from 1 species
GCAGUCGUGGCCGAGUGGUUAAGGCAAUUGACUAGAAAUCCAUUGGGGUCUCCCCGCACAGGUUCGAAUCCUGUCGACUGCG